UUCGGAGUGGACAAACUGGUAAAGUCGUCAGGCUUUGACCCUGAAGUGUGGUGGUUCGAUCCCAUCCUCCGAAGUCA
rnacentral:tRNA from 1 species